UACGUAGGUGGCAAGCGUUACUCGGAAUUACUGGGCGUAAAGCGUGCGUAGGUGGUUUGUUAAGUCUGAUGUGAAAGCCCUGGGCUCAACCUGGGAAUUGCAUUGGAUACUGGCAGGCUAGAGUGCGGUAGAGGAUGGCGGAAUUCCCGGUGUAGCAGUGAAAUGCGUAGAGAUCGGGAGGAACAUCUGUGGCGAAGGCGGCCAUCUGGACCAGCACUGACACUGAGGCACGAAAGCGUGGGGAGCAAACAGG
rnacentral:rRNA from 1 species